rnacentral:rRNA from 1 species
GCAUAUCAAUAAGCGGAGGAAAAGAAACCAACAGGGAUUGCCCCAGUAACGGCGAGUGAAGCGGCAACAGCUCAAAUUUGAAAUCUGGCUUCGGCCCGAGUUGUAAUUUGCAGAGGAAGCUUUAGGCGCGGCACCAUCUGAGUCCCCUGGAACGGGGCGCCACAGAGGGUGAGAGCCCCGUAUAGAUGGACGCCUAGCCUGUGUAAAGCUCCUUCGACGAGUCGAGUAGUUUGGGAAUGCUGCUCUAAAUGGGAGGUAAAUUUCUUCUAAAGCUAAAUACCGGCCAGAGACCGAUAGCGCACAAGUAGAGUGAUCGAAAGAUGAAAAGCACUUUGAAAAGAGGGUUAAAUAGCACGUGAAAUUGUUGAAAGGGAAGCGCUUGUGACCAGACUUGCGCCGGGCGGAUCAUCCGGUGUUCUCACCGGUGCACUCCGCCCGGCUCAGGCCAGCAUCGGUUCUCGUGGGGGGACAAAGGUCCCGGGAACGUAGCUCCUCCGGGAGUGUUAUAGCCCGGGGCGUAAUGCCCUCGCGGGGACCGAGGACCGCGCUUCUGCAAGGAUG